CUGCACUGUUCCCUCUAAGCUGCGCAAUUGCGCACUGCUGACACGGUCUCCACGCACAGAAAAUCUGCGCUGCGCACAAAAAGAAAAAAAAAUCCAACCUAAAUUGUAAAUAAAAUAAACACGUAACAAUUCAUUCUGUGCUAUUUUUCAAUGUGAGUCAGUGAGUGACCGGUGACUGGCUGCUGCAGCCAAUGAUGCGAUUCACAUACGUAUUUACCAUAGACUGUAUAUAAUGGUAUUUACGCAGCUAAUCAACGUCAGGCGUCCUUAUGUGCAGCCACCGCUGUUCUCAUAGAUAUGAAUGAGUAGAUAGGACACGCCCCUUUGAGCUGCGUGCUACAGCGAGGCUAAGCUAGUGGGGGAAAAGUUUCAGUGCAUUCUGUUGAUGUAGACGGCGUGAAAACGGAAACAACAAGUAUGCCGUCUCACUGUACUGCAUAUAGUUACACACUACGUCGUACGAUUGAGACAAGGAAACUUGGAAUGACUUUUCAUAGGUUUCCCAGAGACUAUGGGUUGAGGAGGAAUUGGAAGUUUGUCGGCUUAGACCUGGUGUUAUUCCAUCAGUGUUAAACUUCCCGGCUCAUCUUGGAAGAGUACGUGCCAGAAAGACCACGACCAAGCAGCCUUGAGAUCUUAGACAGCGUCUCCCUGAGGUCCCUCUCUAUCUCCCCACACAUCCACCAACCACUGGAACACAUCUCCAAAGUUCUGCUGGUCCAGCUCAGCUUCCCCUCAGAAGAAGUGCCGCUACCUGCCAGAUGAAGGAGCCUUUUGAGAGGCAGCUGGCAUCAUGAUUGGACUGUACUUUGGUCUGUUCCAAUCCAGCUUCAGCUCCAGAGACGGCAGGCGGGACGAGUCAACGGAGGCCGGGUGGACGAAAGCAUGCAGCUGAGUACAAUCCAGAAAACAACAGAGGAGGAGUGCAGCGGUACAAUAUACAAUAUACAUCGUAUAUUGUACAAAUAACAAGUCAAAGGAAAGAGACAUACAUUGUAGAAUUGUAGUAAUUGUGGGCUGACUGAUUUACUGAUUAUCAGUAUUUUAUUUUUUUACUGAUUUACAGUAAUAAAUACAUUUAAAAAUGGUGAUACUUUGGCUCUGAACCUUAAUCUACCUGUGGUCGCUCUGUCUUCUGGAGUGAUUUGAUUGGUUAUACGUAACGAAUAAAACUCCUUUAACUUAACAUCUGUAAACAAAACAAAAACGUAUCAACAAAGUUUUCUGUUAGUUUGUGUUCUUCAAAGUUUAACUCCAAGAUUUUAAAUACUUUCAUUUACUGCAAAUGAAUAUCCAAAUGAAUAUCUACUCCAAAUGUCUCACUAAUAAUCAUUAUCAGCCUUAAAAACCCACAAAACACCCCUUUAUACUCGGCCACACUUAGUACAGUCUGGUUCCCCCUCCUAUAAAUCUGCUUGGAAUCGUCCACUUCCUGUUUGUCAAAGUGGCCUUCUACCUGGACAGGUUUUGUUGGAGCUCAUGCAGCAAACAUUUUGGGUAACUGCACUUUAAUAUGGAUGGAUGACACUGAAUUAGAGUCUGUUUUAAUGAGACUGAGUUAAGAUGUGUAGCUCUGUCAUUAAAUAGUAAAUUAUUUCUCAGAAUUCACAGAGAAAAGUCUGAAAUGUUUGCUAGGUUAGCGUCCCACAUGUUCUUUGGCUCAGCUAAAGCUAACUCUCUCCAACUUCUGGAUCUCUUGAGUUGCUUGUUGUUAAAAUAUCUUGCUAGAGGUGCUGAAGCUCAGAAAGUCUGAGAUGUUUGUUCAAAAUAAGCUCAUUCUCAAGUCUUAUCUGAACUCUUUUGUUUUAACUUUUCCUAAACUUAGGAGUUAAUGACAGAGCAGCACAUCCAGACUCAGUCUCAUUUAUGUAGAGAUUAAACUUCAGUGUCAUUCAUUGAUGUUAAAGUGCAGUUUUUCAAAUGUUUGUUGCACAUGCUCCCGACCAAACCAGUCCAGGUGGAAGACGAUGUGAAGAGAAAGCUCCAGAGGAUGAAUAUCACACAUUUACGUUGGAAAUAAAUGUCCUUUAAUUAGACAUUGUCAUGCAAAAGUUGGAUUUCCCUUUAAUGAUGUUCAAAUCUUUGUUGAGUGUUUUGUUGAUGUUGGUUUCUAAAUGUUUUUUGACACUCGGCCCCAAAGAUUAAAA